rnacentral:rRNA from 1 species
AUUGAACGCUGGCGGCAUGCCUUACACAUGCAAGUCGAACGGCAGCACGGGUGCUUGCACCUGGUGGCGAGUGGCGAACGGGUGAGUAAUACAUCGGAACAUGUCCUGUAGUGGGGGAUAGCCCGUCGAAAGCCGGAUUAAUACCGCAUACGAUCUACGGAUGAAAGCGGGGGACCUUCGGGCCUCGCGCUAUAGGGUUGGCCGAUGGCUGAUUAGCUAGUUGGUGGGGUAAAGGCCUACCAAGGCGACGAUCAGUAGCUGGUCUGAGAGGCCGACCAGCCACACGGGGACUGAGACACGGCCGAGACUCCUACGGGAGGCAGCAGUGGGGAAUCUUGGACGAUGGGGGAAAGCCUGAUCCAGCAAUGCCGCGUGUGUGAAGAAGGCCUUCGGGUUGUAAAGCACUGUUGUCCGGAGAGAAGUCCUUGGCCCUAAUACGGUCGGAGGAUGACGGUACCGGAAGAAUAAGCACCGGCUAACUACGUG